rnacentral:lncRNA from 1 species
CCAUUAUGACGCCGGCGGCCAUGUCUGCCCCCACCUUUGGAAACGGUUUUAAAGGCAAUGAAAUCAUCCCCCUCGAAUCUUAUUGGCUCUCUUGGUGUUAGAGGCCCUGAACAUUUAUUUUAUACAACGUUUGACAUGUUUGAACGAACCUACAUGCGCGAGGAUUGCUUUCAGUAUGAAGUGCAGAGCUGCUUUGGAGAGAGCCAUAGGACGCGCGCUACCAACAUCAGGCUAAUGGAACGUGAAGUAUGGCCUUUUUGACCGAAAAUACAUCUGUUGUGGACCUGGGAUGCUUUCUGAUGAAGACAACUAAAGGACAACUCUAACCACACAGCCAAGACAACGCAGGAGUGGCUUCGGGACAAGUCUCUGAAUGUCCAUGAGUGGCCCAGCCAGAGCCCGGACUUGAACCUGAUAGAACAUCUCUGGAGAGAUGCUCCGCAUACAACUUGACAGAGCUUGAGAGGAUCUGCAGAGAAGAAUGGGAGAAACUCCCCAAAUCCAGGUGUACUAAGCAUCAUACCCAAGAAGACUCUAGGCUGCAAUCACUGCCAAAGGGAAAUGAACGGGACUCCCUAAAAGACAGCAAGUGAGCGUGGCUGCCUGGGCUUAGGAUGCAGAGCUCGUAUCCACGCCUACCACGGAGCACUCGUCGUGCCCAACACUAACUAAAGACGGACCUGAACCCUCCCUUCACAGAGACUGGAACCUGUGUAGAGAAAGAGAUUUAAUGGAGAGUUUAGGCCUUUUCUCCCAACUAAAAGUGGAAGAACUGAUGUCACGGGCAGACUCAACUACAUGUGGAUGAGUAUAGACUGUUGGAAAUUAAGAUGAAUGUUUGGUGGAUUAUUAUGCAAGAUGCCUUUUCAAAGAGGAAUUGCUAUUUUGGAGGAGAAACUUUUAAAUGCAGCUUUAUGUACAAAUGCAAAUCAUUUACCCACCCCAGCACAGGACAAUGAUUUAAGAUCAAGGGCCUGAUUACCUGCAUGUCCACCAAUGUUAUUUACAUGUUGAAAUGUACCUAUGGUCUGUCUUACAUAGAGAAAACCUGUAGAAGUCUUCAGACACAGAUCAGUGAGCACAAAAAAUAUGGUUGCUGCUCAUUUUGUACAAGCUGAACAUGCUAUUAGUUCUCUGAGAUACAUUGGAAUAGAAAUGGUCAAGAUGUCACGCAGGGGAGGGGACAAUGAGAGGAAACUUCUUCAAAGGGAAUCUUUCUGGAUCCACAGGCUCAACACACUGUCUCCUCUUGGCCUUAAUGUGGAGUUUGGAUUGAAACCGUUUUUAUAGUUUAAUAUUUCUAAAUUGUGUUGUUUUUAAUACUAAUUGAAUAUUGUGUGUAUAUUACUGUAAACAUUGAUCACAUUCCCUGUGCAUGAUCAUAUAUUUUGAUACAUCGAAUGUUAAUAUUGUGAAACUAUUGUCACGCACUGACCUGAGAGCCUUUUUAUGUCUCUAUUUAGGUUUGGUCAGGGUGUGAUUUGGGUGGGCAUUCUAUGUCCUUUUUUCUAUGUUUUUGUAUUUCUUUGUUUUGGCCUGGUAUGGCUCUCAAUCAGGGACAGCUGUACAUCGUUGUCGCUGAUUGGGAGCCAUACUUAGGCAGCCUGUUUUCCUUUGGGGUUUUGUGGGUAGUUGUUUUCUGUCUUGUGUGUUCACCUGGCAGAACUGUUGACUUUCGUUUUCUUGUGUUAUUUAAAGUGAUUCAUUAAAGUUAAUAUGAGCACUUA